UACGAAGGGGGCUAGCGUUGCUCGGAAUCACUGGGCGUAAAGCGCACGUAGGCGGCUUCUUAAGUCAGGGGUGAAAUCCUGGAGCUCAACUCCAGAACUGCCUUUGAUACUGAGGAGCUUGAGUCCGGGAGAGGUGAGUGGAACUGCGAGUGUAGAGGUGAAAUUCGUAGAUAUUAGGAAGAACACCGGUGGCGAAGGCGGCUUUCUGGACGGUAACUGACGCUGAGGCGCGAAAGCGUGGGGAGCAAACAGG
rnacentral:rRNA from 1 species